CUGCCUUAAACUAAUGAGUAAGGAAAACAAAGCGAGCGGUGGGAGCCGCUCGCCGCGCUUCUAAGUAAUCAUGCGCAAUAAUUUGUGGAGGGGUAAUAGGCUGGCCGAGCGCUGACGCUGCUUACUUUGCAGAACUCGCUCGUGCGGGCCUCCC
rnacentral:snRNA from 9 species